GUCAAGGGUGAGGGUGGGUCAGGGAGGGCUCCCAGGAGGCUUCCAAGCCUGGAGCCUCUUCCCAGCCUGGAGAAGUGCCCUGGGUGGCUCCCAGCACCACUGACCACCUGGUUUGAUGCAGAGACUGCACAGGACAGUGCUGCAAGCGUGACUUGGCUUGUUCGUAGGUUCUCCCUUCCUCUAUUCUGCUGGUGGCUAUGUGACCUUGAGCAAGUUACCCAACUUUAUGAAGAAGGAACUUCUAAGAAUACUUCCCUGCAGGCUGAGGUGGAGCCCAAAUGGGCACUGAGGGUGAGAAGGACCUGCAGGCUGAGGUGGGGCCCACAUGGGCGCUGAGAGUGAGAAGGACCUGCAGGUUCUCGGGACAUCGCCUUCUCCAUCCUCCUUGAAUGGCGCUGACUCUGGUUUGCAGGACCCUUUCCUGUGCCCUGAGCCUAUGGCGGAUCUGCCAUCUGCCAGAUGCUGGACCCUCGUAUGCACGUCAUCACGUCCUCAGGCCUCCACGGUGCCCAUCUCUCCAUCUCAUGGCCCAGGCCUCUGUGGUGCCUAUCUCCAUCUCGUGGCUCAGGCCUCCAUGGCACCUGUCUCUCCAGCUCGUGGCCCUGGAUGCUGGUGGUGCCCACCUGGCAGCGUGCCUAGCCCAUGGGGAGCUCAGCAAACCCUUGCCGACAUGCAAUGGGUUCCCAGUGAUCGGAUGAGUAAAUGAGAGCCUGCAGAAGCCCUGCCACUCUUGCCUUUUCUUUUUGGGUCAAUGAGGUGGCAGCCCAUGUGUUGAUUCUGCAAGUGUAGACACAACUCUUGAAUAAUCACAUGGAAUAGCUUUACCCAGAGAGGCCCAGACACCUGUGGGAGGCCAGCCCAGCUUCCCACCAGAGGCCACUCAGGGGUGUUCAUGUGCCCUCAGUUUGGGUGCCCUUCCAGCCUUUGGCCCACAGGAAGGGGAAUUCUAAAUGCAUGCCAGUCACCCUGGUCUGCACUUACUGGUAUUGCUCUGAUUUGUUGCAUAGAGUGGGGAGGAGCCAAAGACAGCAUUGGAACGGAGGACGGGCCAAGCCUCCACCCUGGUGGCCUUUUUCCUGCAUGUGAGGCAGGCUCCCUCUCCGUUUUCCUCCUCCCCAGAAGCUCUCAAGGGCAGGACUCCUCUGCUCAGCUCACGGUAGCAGCUCUGAUGCUGGAACAGGGCCUGAGUGGAUGGAUGGAUGAUUCCCCAGUGUGGGUCUCCGAAGCCCACCCUGUUCCGU
rnacentral:lncRNA from 1 species